rnacentral:rRNA from 1 species
UACGUAGGGCGCAAGCGUUGUCCGGAAUUAUUGGGCGUAAAGAGCUCGUAGGCGGUUUGUCGCGUCUGCUGUGAAAUCCCGAGGCUCAACCUCGGGCUUGCAGUGGGUACGGGCAGACUAGAGUGCGGUAGGGGAGACUGGAAUUCCUGGUGUAGCGGUGGAAUGCGCAGAUAUCAGGAGGAACACCGAUGGGCGAAGGCAGGGUC